rnacentral:rRNA from 1 species
GAUGAACGCUAGCGGCAGGCUUAACACAUGCAAGUCGAGGGGUAGAAGGAGCUUGCUCCUUUGAGACCGGCGCACGGGUGCGUAACGCGUAUGCAAUCUACCUUUUGCAGAGGGAUAGCCCAGAGAAAUUUGGAUUAAUACCUCAUAGUAUGUGAGGAUGGCAUCAUUUUCACAUUAAAGUCACAACGGCAAAAGAUGAGCAUGCGUCCCAUUAGCUAGUUGGUAAGGUAACGGCUUACCAAGGCUACGAUGGGUAGGGGUCCUGAGAGGGAGAUCCCCCACACUGGUACUGAGACACGGACCAGACUCCUACGGGAGGCAGCAGUGAGGAAUAUUGGACAAUGGGCGCAAGCCUGAUCCAGCCAUGCCGCGUGCAGGAUGACGGUCCUAUGGAUUGUAAACUGCUUUUGUACAGGAAGAAACACUACUUCGUGAAGUAGCUUGACGGUACUGUAAGAAUAAGGAUCGG